GAUGUACUGCAUGAAAGCACGAGUGUUUGAUGGGUUCCAAUUGCCUAUGGAAAGAGUAUCUUUUGGAUCUUGAUUUGCCUUCUUUCUCCCAAUGAGUGCAUUCAAUCCAAAUGAGAAUUCCUUGCCAGUAUUUACACAUCAAUCAGUCCAGCCAGAUCACCCCACGAGUGAGAAUGGGAAAACUCAAAAUUAGGUGAUCUAAUCAUCAGGUGAGUCAAUUUUUGAAUUUGAUGUUUUUGGAGGUUAUUCAUUGUUUUCUAUUGUGUGGCCCAUCUGAUGCUUGGAUUGGCUUGAUUAUUGUGUUGCCCCAUUUUAAUGGUAGGUGAGCCUGCUGGAUAAUUGGUUUCCAUACAAACAGCAUGAUGGGCCCCAUAUGUAGCUAGUUGCAAGAAAUUUUCUAUGAUUGUUGUAGAGGAACCAGCCUCCAGACUUUGAUUGAACAUAAUAGGCUACUUCCUCAUUUGAAUGCUAGUAAUCAUCACUAAUCUUCAUUCCUCCUCCUGAUUAGAUGGGACGCAUCGAGUUUGUAAUUCAGUUGUGCAUUUAGAUGCAUCGUUCCAAACUGUAAACGAUCUUGAUUCUAAUCCGAUUGAGAGACGGACACAACUAGAAUUUCUUAAUCCUUAAGACUCUGUAUUCCCACAAUUAAAAAUUACUAUAGCUGGCCUGAUUAUGGAAAAUUUGAUAAUUACCCUUAUGGAACCAAACAUCAUUUAAGUCCCAUUUGGGAGACCCAAAAUCUAGUUCUAGUUUUAGUGUUUUUUUUUUUUUUUCCAGCACAACCAAUCCACCUUGUAAGCAGAAUCUAAAUCACAACUAAGGAAUGGAAAUGAGCCCUUCUUGUCUUGCCAACGAUUUGAAUGUGCCGAGUUUACUUGUAAAUAGCACUGCUAGUGUAGGAUUUCAAUGUAGAACUCUUGUGUAAGCUAUAGGUAUGCUAGGAGCCUCGUGCACAAUCAGAAUUUCAGCUCAGGUCCAUUUACCAUGCUCCAUCCCCCUUUUGUUCAAUAUAAAACUGGUUAUCCCCAGUUGGGUCAGUUGCCAGGGACCCAAGCUUCCAUGAACCACAGGCCCUCGAAUACAGUCAUGAACCCCUUCUGUACCAUUGGAUCGAACCAGCCUCCAAGGGAUCCUGUCUAUCUUCACUGGCCGAGCCCUGCUAUGAUGUACGCACAAUCCUGUGAGCAUUUCAGACAAGCUGUUUUUCAGGCGCCCUUCUAUCAGCAACCCUUAAGCUUUGAUUAUUCCCAGCACCGCUAGGGAGAACAGAAAAUGUCGCAGAAUGGUUGAUGUCAUUUUAGGUUCCAUGGAGUGAAGUAAAUACGUUAUUGAGAUUUGUCAGAUUGUUGUGUUUCAGUUUUAGGUUCUGUUUUGUAGUCUGAGGGAGUAAUGGUACGCAUAUGACCCGAUUUCUAAAUGUUUUGGUAAACUAGAUGUUUUUGCU